rnacentral:tRNA from 17 species
GGGUGAUUGGCUCAGCUGGGAGAGCACCUCCCUUACAAGGAGGGGGUCGGCGGUUCGAUCCCGUCAUCACCCACCA